GACUCUGUUGUAUGUCAAGGAGACUCUGGAGUAUGAAGACAUGGUCUCGGUGCUGCACUCCAAUGAACAGUGAAAAAAGAUGACCAAGGAUGGAGGUCCCCAGGAGGGCUUGGCCGUGGAGGAGAGGUCAGGAAGAGAAAAAAAAGGCAAGUCAAGAGGAUGAUUAAAGUUCUAAAAGAGCAGUAGCAAAAACGAGGCUCGGUGCUACAAGUGCAAU
rnacentral:lncRNA from 1 species